rnacentral:lncRNA from 11 species
GUGAUUUCUCACUCCUGAAAAUAGAGGGGAUUUUGGCAGGAGAAGCAAGAGCUGCUCUUCAAGGCUUCCAAAUGACGGUUGAUAUUAUGAAGGUGACACUAAAUACGGGCUACGUUUUACCAGAAGCAUUCCAUCUGAAGUUUAUCUUGAGGAAAUUUGAAAUACACAGCACUAUGAAAAAAAGUUCUUGUGAGAACAAUAAAAUGGUUUUACUAGCUCAGACUUGGGUAAACAAAGAAAAUUCUUAAGAGAACAAAAAUAAAAUUGAAUGACAUAGAGUAAAUAAG